rnacentral:lncRNA from 1 species
CAACGGGUUAGGGUUAGGCAACGGGUUAGGGUUAGGCAACGGGUUAGGGUUAGGCAACGGGUUAGGGUUAGGCAACGGGUUAGGGUUAGGGUUAGGCAACGGGUUAGGGUUAGGGUUAGGCAACGGGUUAGGGUUAGGGUUAGGCAACGGGUUAGGGUUAGGGUUAGGCAACGGGUUAGGGUUAGGGUUAGGCAACGGGUUAGGGUUAGGGUUAGGCAACGGGUUAGGGUUAGGCAACGGGUUAGGGUUAGGGUUAGGCAACGGGUUAGGCAACGGGUUAGGGUUAGGGUUAGGGUUAGGGUUAGGGUUAGGCAACGGGUUAGGCAACGGGUUAGGGUUAGGCAACGGGUUAGGGUUAGGGUUAGGGUUAGGCAACGGGUUAGGGUUAGGCAACGGGUUAGGGUUAGGCAACGGGUUAGGGUUAGGCAACGGGUUAGGGUUAGGCAACGGGUUAGGGUUAGGCAACGGGUUAGGGUUAGGGUUAGGGUUAGGGUUAGGGUUAGGGUUAGGGUUAGGGUUAGGGUUAGGGUUAGGGUUAGGGUUAGGGUUAGGGUUAGGGUUAGGGUUAGGGUUAGGGUUAGGGUUAGGGUUAGGGUUAGGGUUAGGGUUAGGGUUAGGGUUAGGGUUAGGGUUAGGCAACGGGUUAGGCAACGGGUUAGGCAACGGGUUAGGCAACGGGUUAGGCAACGGGUUAGGCAACGGGUUAGGCAACGGGUUAGGGUUAGGGUUAGGGUUAGGGUUAGGGUUAGGGUUAGGGUUAGGGUUAGGGUUAGGGUUAGGGUUAGGGUUAGGGUUAGGGUUAGGGUUAGGGUUAGGGUUAGGGUUAGGGUUAGGGUUAGGGUUAGGGUUAGGGUUAGGGUUAGGGUUAGGGUUAGGGUUAGGGUUAGGGGUAGGGUUAGGGUUAGGGUUAGGGUUAGGGUUAGGGUUAGGGUUAGGGUUAGGGUAAGGGUUAGGGUAAGGGUUAGGGUUAGGGUUAGGGUUAGGGUUAGGGUUAGGGUUAGGGUUAGGGUUAGGGUUAGGGUUAGGGUUAGGGUUAGGGUUAGGGUUAGGGUUAGG